UACGUAGGGAGCAAGCGUUGUCCGGAAUCAUUGGGCGUAAAGAGCGCGUAGGUGGCUUUAUAAGUCCGUUGUGAAAGUCAAAGGCUCAACCUUUUGAAAGCCGAUGGAUACUGUGAAGCUAGAGUACGGAAGAGGCGAGUGGAAUUCCUGGUGUAGCGGUGGAAUGCGCAGAUAUCAGGAGGAACACCAAUAGCGAAGGCAGCUCGCUGGGGACGUAACUGACGCUGAGACGCGAAAAGCGUGGGGGAGCAAACAGG
rnacentral:rRNA from 1 species